GUAAUAAUAAGAGCAUAUGGUGGAUGCCUAGGGUUCUGAAGGCGAUGAAGGACGUGGCUUGGCUGCGAUAAAUCUCGGGUAGGUGCCUAGCAACCUUUAAUCCGAGAGUCUCCGAAUGGGGAAACCUGAUGCUGCAAAACGGCAUCAACGCCGUUUCGCAGCAAUCUUAAAAAUCAAAAAUCAAAUCUCAAAAAUUAGGAAUAGAUUUUAGAUUUGCGAUUUAAGAUUUGAGAUUGCCGCGAAGCGGCGUAGCGUACCCAGGGAAGUGAAACAUCUCAGUACCUGGAGGAAAAGAGAAAAACAUUUAUUUCCUUAGUAGCGGCGAGCGAAACGGAAACAGCCCAAAUCGCCAAUACGGAGUAUUGGCGAGGUUGUAAGACAUUGACGUUUUCAAUAUUGAAAAAGAAGUUAUAAAAUAUUUUGUUAGCGGAAUUUUGCUGGAAAGCAUAGCCAAAGAGGGUAAUAGCCCCGUAGGCGAAAACAAAAUAUCUUCUUUGUUGAUGAUCUUGAGUACCUCGACAAACGAAUGGGUCGGGGGAAGCAGGGAGGACUAACUCCCAAGGCUAAAUACUUCAGAACACCGAUAGUGAACAAGUACCGUGAGGGAAAGGUGAAAAGUAGCCCGGUUAGGGCGGUGAAAUAGUACCUGAAACCGUAUGCUUACAAAGAGUCGGAGCCGCGCUUUGCGCGGUGACGGCGUGCCUAUUGAAGAAUGAGCCAACGAGUUUCCGCUUGAAUUUCGUUUAACCCCGCUAAGCGGGGGGAGGCAUAGGGAAACCUAGUGUGAAUAGCGCGAAAGUCCGUCCACAUCUGCAAAGUUGUGGCGGGCAAAAAUUUUAGCGGAAGACCCGAAGCCAGGUGAGCUUACCAUGACCAGGGUGAAUGUCGUCGAAAGACGUCAGAAGGCCCGAACCGGUUGGCUGUGCAAGACCAUCGGAUGAGUUGUGGUAAGAAGUGAAAAGCUAAUCGAACCUGGUAAUAGCUGGUUCUCUCCGAAAUAGCUUUAGGGCUAGCGUUUCAAAUAUUUUUCGGGGGUAGAGCUACUGGAAGAUGUGAAUAGGGAGAAAUCUCGUCAUAUCUACCAAACUCCGAAUACCGAAAAUUUUUUUUGAGGCAGUUAGACCAUGGGGGCGAAGCUCCAUAGGUCGAAAGGGAAACAGCCCAGAUCUCUAUCUAAGGUCCCUAAAUUCAUACUGAGUGCACUUAAGGAGGUGAAAUUUCUCGGACAGCGAGGAGGUUGGCUUAGAAGCAGCCAUCCUUCAAAGAGUGCGUAACAGCUCACUCGUUAAGAGAUUUUGCACCGAAAAUAAUCGGGGCUAAGUAUGAUACCGAAGAUGAGAAUCGUUCACUUCGUUCACUAGUGUGAUGCCAAUAUGCGAAUUUCAUGCUAAUUAUGCGAAUUGCGAAUAUUAAUUAUUUGCAUAUUUGCAGCAUUCGCAUAUCAUUCGUAGAUUUGCAUCAUGAUAGCGAGCGAAGCGAGCGAUGGUAGGAGAGCAUUCUUAAUGCUGUGAAGCUUACGCUGCGAGGCGGAGUGGAGCGUUGAGAAGAGAAAAUGUUGGCACAAGUAACCACAAUUCUGGUGAGAUCCCAGAAGGCCAAAAACCUAAGGUUUCCUUGGCAAUGUUGAUCAGCCAAGGGUUAGUCGGGCCUAAGGCGAUGGCGAAAGCCGAAGCCGAUGGACAUACGGUUAAUAUUCCGUAACCUUGUUAUUUUUCUGACGGGGGGACGAAGUUUAGUAAUUUGAGCGACUUAUUGGAUUGUCGUUCUUGGUUUGAGAAGGCCGCGUAGGCAAAUCCGCGCGGCAAUACUUCAAGAAUUGAGAAAAGGGUUGUUUACGGACAGCCCGAUUCAGAUGAGCAGGCUUCCAAGAAAAACCUCUAGGGUUAAAAAUAAUGAGACCGUACCGCAAACCAACACAGGUGGGUGGGUCGAGAAGACCAAGGCCAACGGGUGAUUGCUCCCCAAGGAACUCGGCAAAAAAGCGACCGUAACUUUGGAAUAAGGUCUGCCCGCAGCAAUGCGGGCCGCAGCGAAAGUACCCCUGGCGACUGUUUAUCAAAAACACAGCUCUCUGCGAACUCGCAAGAGGAUGUAUAGAGGGUGACGCCUGACCAAUGCAAGAAGGUUAAAUGAUGUUGGUCACUAGUGGCUAGUUUUCUAGCGGCUAGCGGCUGGACGUUAUAAGCCCUUGUCAAUGUCGGCGGUAACUAUAACCGUCUUAAAGUAGCGAAAUUCCUUGUCUGGUAAAUUCAGACCUGCACGAAUGGCGUAACGACUGGGGGACUGUCUCGGGGAGUAGCCCGGUGAAAAUACAAUGCCGGUAAAGAUGCCGGUUACCUGCAGCAGGACGAAAAGACCCCGGGAGCUUUACUGUAGCUUGAUAUUGGAUUUAAGUUUUGGAUGCGUAGCAUAGGUGGGAGGCUUUGAAGCCUUGCUUUUGGGCGAGGUGGAGCCACCAGUGAAAUACCACUCUUCCAAGAUUUAAAUUCUAACCUCUUCGGCAAAACCGGAGGGAGACAGUAUCUGGCGGACAGUUUUUCUGGGGCAGAAUCCUCCUAAAAAGUAAUGGAGGAGUCUAUUAAGGUUGGCUAGGCGCGUAUGGAAAUCGUGCCGAUAGUGUAAUGGCAAAAGCCAGCUUAACUGGAAGACGGACAUGUCAACCAGAUGCGAAAGCAGAGCAUAGUGAACUGCUUGUUGGAAUUAGAUACUGCAAGCAAUCAACGGAUAAAAGUUACCCCGGGGAUAACAGCGUGGUCGCACCCAAGAGUCCAUAUCGACGGUGCGGUUCGCGACCUCGAUGUCGGCUCGUCCUAUCCUGGGGCUGGAGAAGGUCCCAAGGGUUUGGCUGUUCGCCAAUUAAAAGGGCACGCGAGCUGGGUUCAGACCGUUUAGGGGUGAAGCAGGGCAGAGGACUUGACCCUUAAACCAUCUGAACCCGGAGGCGUGAAAAGAGCAUGACAGGGUAAAGGCAAAAAAAUAAUCACGGCGGUCUCCCGUAGUAAUGCGGGAUGAAGAAGCUGAUUUAUAUCGGAAAAAUCCUAUUAAAUUUUGGUUUGAUUUUUUAGGACAAUUCCGAGGGAAGAAUAUAAUGAUGGGAUAUCAUCAGAAAUAUUUACCCGUAGAGACUACACGUCAGCCAUCCUAAAUCAUUUUUAAUGAUCGGAUGAAGAUAUAGUCCAUACACUUAGUAAUAAGUGAUCAAUAUGCGUGAGACAGGUUGGCCUCCUAUCCGCUGCAGGCGUUAAAUUCUUGAGGAGAGUCUUUCCUAGUACGAGAGGACCGGAAAGAACUGACCUCUGGUGUACCAGUUGUUCCGCCAGGAGCAUGGCUGGGUAGCUAAGUCGGGAAGGGAUAACCGCUGAAAGCAUCUAAGCGGGAAGCCUACUCCAAGAUUAAGAAUUAAAGUCCGUGGAAGAUUACCACGUUGAUAGGCUCAAGGUGUAAGUGCGGUAACGCAUUCAGCCGAAGAGUACUAAUAGAC
rnacentral:rRNA from 2 species